ensembl:lncRNA
AUUUUAUUGGAAAGAAGGUACUUUUCAGCAGGACCUUUUCCCAGAUUCUGGAGGUGUCUGAUCUCUGUACUCUUCUCCUUAUGGAGCCACCCCUGAAGGAUGAGCUAAGACCUCAAUGAUCCGGUGAUGCUGUGAUGCUCCAGGACAAGAUUACACCAGCUGAAGACAUCCUGGGAGGAACAAAAUCUUCAUCUACUCAGUUCCUCAUUGUUCUUGGAUUUCCACCGCCACUGUCAUUUGUUACACUUUGUUUAUCCCGAUGUACUGAAUUCUCUAUAAGUCAUUUGUUAAUUUAUUUCUCCUGAUGUACUGAAUAAAAGGUGCAGUAAGCUCCGGGGUCUUUCGUCUUUGCUGUCCAGAGCAGCAUUGAUCAGGCCCAAAGCUCAGGUUCUUCUCAAAGUCUCAUUUUUCCUAACUUUUGUGUAUAAUAAGUCAAUUCACCUUGUGCUGUCAUGGCUCGAGGGAGACUAGGACUUACUGCAGAGGUUCUAGUAACAUCCCCUUUCCCUGUUCCCUACACCACAAGGUAUUUAAGCUUGUGUGUCUGAUUUAUUUCACUCAGUAUAGUAUCUUCCAGGUCAUCCAUUUUCCUACAAAUGCCUCAAAUUCUUUAUAGCAGAGUAGUAUUCCACUAUUAUAUAGAUACCACAUUUUGCUUAUCUAAUCAUCUGUUGAUGGGUAUACAGGCUGCUUCCAGGAUUUAGCUAUUACUAAUUGUGCUACUAUGAACAUUGGUAUGCAUAUGUCACUGCAGUAUGAUGAUUUAAGCUCUCUGGGGAAGAUACCUAGCAGAGGAAUAGCUGGUUGUAUGGAAUUUCUAAUUUCAAUUCUUUGAGAAAUUUCCAUACUGAUUUCCAUAAAGGUUGUACUGGUUUGCAUUCCCGACAACAAUGUAGAAAGAUUCCUUUUUUGCCACAACCACACCAGCAUUUAUUAUUCUUUGAUUUCCUAAUGAUUGCCAUUCUUUCCAGAGUAACAUGGAAUCUUACUUAGUGUUGUUUUAAUUUGCAUUUCUCCAAUGGCCAGAGAUGUUGAACAUUUUUUCAUAUAUUUGUUAACAAUUUGAAUUUCUUCCUCUGUGAAGUGUCUGUUCAUUUCCCUAGCCCUUUUCUUGACUGUACUUUUAAUUUUAGAUGGUUUAAUAUUUUUGAGUUCUUUAUAUAUUUUAGAUAUUAGUCUUCUGUCUGGGGAGUAGUUGGCAAAAUUUUUUCCCAUUCUGAAGUUUUUCUCUUCACCGUACUGACUGAUUCCUUUGCUGUACAAGAGCUUUUAAGUCUGAUAUAAUCCCAUUUGUUGAUUCUUAUUGCUAUGACUUGUGCAGCUGAGGUUCUGUUUAGGAAAAUCCUUUCCUACACCUGUGUCUUCAAGUGUUUUACUUAUUUUAUUUUCCAGAAAGUUUAAUGUUUCUGUUUUAAUGUUUAACUAUUUGAUCCAAUUUUAUUUUAAUUUAGUAUAUGGUGAGAGAUAACGUUCCAAUUUCAUUCUUCUACAAGGAAAUAACCAGUUUUCCCAACACCAUUUGUUUAAUAGGCUUUUCUCCAACAUAUGCUUUUGGACCCUUUGUCGAAGAUCAAAUAGUUGAAUAUUCCAGAGGAGGUUUUUAAAUCCUCUAUUCUAUUCCAUUGAUGCAUGUGUCUGUUUUUGUUCCAAUACCAUGCAGUUUUUGUUACUAUUGCUUUUCAAUAUAGCUUGAAGCCUGGUAUUGUUUUGUAGCCUGCUUUGCUCUUAUUGCCCAAAAUUAUUUUUGCUAUUUGGGGUCUUUUUUGGUUCCAUAUGAAUUUUAGGAUUGUUUUCUUUAGAUCUGUAAAGUACCUGAUUGGUACUGGAUUGAAUCUGUAUAGCAGUUUUGGAGGUAUGGCCAUUUUGGCAAUAUUGGUUGUGCUUAUCCAGGAGAAGGGACAUCUUUCCAUUUUCUAAUGUUCUCUUCAGUCUCCUUCUUCAGAGUACUGUAGUUUUCUUUGUGGAGGUGUUUUACUCCCUUGGUUAGGUUUAUUCUUAGAUACUUGAUUUUUUUAAGUGACUGUGAAUGGUAUUGUUUUCAGAAUUUCCUUCUCAUCCUGUUCAUUGUUGGUAUAUACAAAUGCUAAUGAUUUUUGUGUGUUGAUCUUGCAUCCUGCUACUUUGCUGAAAUUAAUAUUAAUUCUAAGAUCUUUUUGGUGGAGUUUUUUGAGUCUUCUAUGUAAAGUAUGUAAACUGCAAAUAAUGACAGUUUGAGCUCUUCCUUUCCUAUCUGUGUUCCUUUUAUUUCUUUCUCUUGCUUAAUUUCUCUGACCAAUGUUUCAAGUACUGUGUUGAAUAGCAGAGGUGAUAGUUGACAUCCUUGUCUUGUUCUUGAUUUUAGGGGUAAUGCUUUUAGUUUUACCCAUUUAGUAUGAUGCUGGGUAUUGGUUUGUCAUAAGUAGCCUUUAUCAUAUUUAGGUAUGCUCCUUCAAUGCCUGUAUUCUUCAGGAUUUUUAUCAUGAAGGAGUGUUGGAUUUUGUCAAAAGAUUUUUCUGUGUCUAUUGAUUUGACCAUGUGGUUUUUGACCUUGGACCUGUUUAUGUAAUGUAUUACAUGCAUAGACUUAUGUAUGUUGAAACAUCCUUGCAUCUCUGGGAUGAAACCUACUUGGUCAUGAUGUAUGAUUUUUUUUAUAAUGCACUGCAUUCUAUUUGUUAAUAUCUUGUUGAGGAUUUUUGCAUCUAUGUUAAUUAAAGAGAUUGACCUAUAGUUCCCUUUUUAGAGCUAUAGUUGGGUCUUUAUCCGUUUUGGGAUCAGGGUGAUAAUGGCUUCCAUAAAUGAAUUUGGGAGCACUCCAUCCCUUUCAAUUUCUUUGAAGAGCUUGCGAAGUAUUGGUGUUAUAGCAUCCUUAAAGGUUUUGUAUUCAACUGUGAAUUCAACUGUGAAUCCAUCAGGUCCUAGGCUUUUUUUAGUUGGUAGAUUCUUUAUUACUGAGUCAAUUUCAUUGCUUAUUAUUGGGUUGUUAAGUAUAUUUAUGUCUUCUUAGAUUAAUUUUGGUAGUUUUUAUGUGUUUAGGUAUCUGUCCAUUUAUUCAAAAUUUGCUAAUUUGUUGGAAUAUAGUUUUUCAAAGUAGUUACUAUCUUCUGGAUUUCGACAGUGUCUGUUGUGAUUUCACCUUUGUCAAUUCUAAUUGCAUUAAUAUGAGUCUUUUCUCUCUUUCUCUUGGUGAGUCUUGCUAAGAGCUUGUCCAUUUUAUUUAUUCUUUCAAAGAACCAGCUCUUCUAUUCAUUGAUGUUUUUCCGCAAUAUUUGUGUCACAUAUUAGACAUAGAUAUUGAACAUUAUUCAUUUGACUUGAGAGUACUAUAGGAGGAUGUGAUACAUGUAGAUGAUUUCCUAAGUGUCCAUGAUUUUAUCCUCUUCAUCAAGGAUCUGUAUCUUUAUGCUACAUUACCAAUUCCUGCUUGUGCACAAAAUGGGAAGGAUAGCCUCCUCAAAACCUUAUUUUCCUUUCAAUAACAUUGACAGGGUGGAUUUUCUGUCAUGAGACGUUCACUGGCAUGAGAAAUUCCUCAGGAAUUCCUGGAUGUUAAUUCUUCUGGGAUUCACUGGAAGAAAGGCAAAAAGUCUGAGUAGAGUCAACCUUGCAUUACAAAUAACAGUUGAUCCAAGUCAGACACAUUCCAUUCUAAGGUAUUGCCACAUGACUAAAUCCAGGGCAAAAGUGAUUUUUUUCAGCAUGUGAGUGAGUGUGUAUGUGUGUGUGUGUGUGUAUGUGUGUGUGUGUAUGUGUGUGUGUGUGCUAUACAGGCAGGUGCUCUAAUUGGCACUGUCCAGCUGCUGCAGAAUGGGACAGUGUCAUAUGCUCUAGCUGUGACUGAAUUCUAGAAAGGUGAGUGGCCAGACCCCUGAGUCUCUGCUGGGGCAGCUCCCCUCCUUCCAGAGCAAGGCUUGGUAUGCUCCCUGCACAUGACUUCCGUUCUCCAUUCUUGCCGUCCUACAUCCGUUCUUUACAACAAAGCCAGAGUGAUGCUUGAGAAAUAUAGAAAAAAAGGAACACUGAGAAUGUUAAUCUGAUUGUUUCAAGUUUAAAUGGUCUCAGGACUUCUUAUAGUACUGAGAAUAUAAUAAAGCCCCAUAGCCUGCUCCUUGGUCUCUCUUUGCUCUCCAUCUGGCACCGCUUUCCCUUAUCAACCAUGCUCCAGAGCAGUGGCCUUCUUUGGGCUUCCCAAAGUGGUUAAAUGUGUUGCUUCCUUCAUACCUUGCCUCUGUUUGCCUGUCUCUGCCAGCAGUGCUCUUUCUUGCCUCUUCGUGUUCAUAGCUGUCUUCUUUUCUGACAAUCAGUUUCAGUUUGCUUAGUCCACUAGUGAUUAUGCUGAUAGUCUAUUGUUUACAUACUAAUUUUCAGUGUUAUGUUUUUAUUUCUCUGUUGUCAACCUUCCUUCCCCUAAACCCAAGUAAACUUUCAUGAGUACAGGGAUUUUGUCAGUCUUAUGAAUUUCUAAUCUAACUGCCCAAUGCAUAGUAGGCUCUCAAAAAAUAACAUUUAAAUGAAUAAAUAAAUGUAAAAUUGAAAUAAUAAUACUGAUGAAAGAACAUUAUUGUGAUUUUCAAUGAAAUAAUGUCUAUAAAGGGCUUAAAAUAGAAAUGACACAUAAAAUGACCAAUAAUUCAUACCUAUUAUCCUUGUUGUCCUUAUUAUUUUGUAAUUUCUCUGGUGAUUUUCCUCUCUGACCUUAAUAAUUUUUUGACCUUUAUAAUUUGGAAGUUUUGUUUGAUGCAAAACAACUCCUGCUUCAAUUAUCUAAUUUCCCAUUUUGUGGACCACACAACAUUAUAUUCUUUUGAGCUAUUUGAAAAAUAGCAAGUUGAGCCCUUGGCAUUCUUUUCUUUUCCAAGUCAAAUAAUUCUAAUUUACUUCAUCUUUUCUUGUAAGUAUAAUACUUGGAGAAGUAACUUUAAGAUCCUUGAGGCAAGGCGACUACAUUAAGCUAUCACAUACCCAUUAGCAAAUCUGUGCGGCUCCAAUUUGUCCAGACAUAAAGGAAACUGCCCACACAAUUUUCCUUUUUGAAAAUUUUAACUUUGCAAUAGUACUUCCACCUACUCUUAAGGGGCCAGAGUAUCCUGUACAUGUUACUUUUAAAAAUACAUUGACGGGGGCGCAGGGAUUUAGCUCAGUGGUUCUGCUGCCUGCCUCUCAAGUGCAAUGUCCCGAGUUCAAUCUCCAGUCCAAAAAAAAAACCCCAACAUUGACAGUCAGGCAUAGUAGCCAUGCCUGUAAUCUCAAAACUAUGGGAAACAGAGGUAGAAGGACUGUGAGUUUGAAUCCAGUCUGGGCAACUUAGUGACUUAGUGAGACCUGUCUGAAAAUAAAAAGCACAUAGCUCAAUGCAAAGGCCUUGAGUUCAAUGUUGAGUACCACAAACAAACAAAAACUCUGAAAAAACAUUGACAAAUAAAGGGUUUGGUCUAUUCAAAUCUGUUCACUACAAAUUUUUAGAUAGGUGCUUCUACUGCUUCUUAGCUUUCUCACUCAUAAGAAGAACAUAAUUGAAACUAGCAUCUGUAAAAUCAUUUCAUAUCUGAAAUAAAUGCUAUUGUAUUUCAACACGAUGGAAGAAGUGAUUUGGUCUGAGUAUGUCAACACACAGAGAGCAUACUUAUGUCCUGGGAUUUCUUUAUGUUUCAUUUAGGUCCUAAAAAUGAAAAACACUAUACUUGCUAUAUAUUUCUUUUGAUAUUUCCCACAGGAUUUUAUUUGGAGAUUCAUUAGUUUGAUAGAGAACAGUAGUUAUUACGUUAAAAAAAAGAAAAAAUUUAAUGUACAUGUACCUGUAAUGAGUCAGAGAAGUUGAUGGAACAUUUUAACAAUCUGAGAAAUAAUUUAUAUAUUAUAGAUUUGUAGAAUGGGAAG